GACGAACGCUGGCGGCGUGCCUAACACAUGCAAGUGGAGCGACGAACCGGGGCUUGCCUCGGGGCAGAGCCGCGAACGGGUGAGUAACACGUGGGUGACCUGCCCCGAUGACUGGGACAACCCGUCGAAAGACGGGCUAAUACCGGAUGUGCCCCUUGGGGGAAAGGAAGCUUCGGCCUCCGCAUCGGGAUGGGCCCGCGGCGCAUUCGCUUGUUGGUGGGGUAAUGGCUUACCAAGGCGACGAUGCGUAGCUGGUCUGAGAGGACGAUCAGCCGCACUGGGACUGGGACACGGCCCAGGCUCCUACGGGAGGCAGCAGUGGGGAAUCUUGCACAAUGCGCGAAAGCGUGAUGCAGCAACGCCGCGUGCGGGAAGAAGGCCUUAGGGUUGUAAACCGCUUUCAGUUGGGACAAGGCUUCGAUCGUGGAUAGCGGUUUGGAGUGACGGUACCUUCAGAAGAAGCGCCGGCUAACUACGUG
rnacentral:rRNA from 1 species